AUAUUUAAGUGUCUAAGCACAUGAAUUUUUGAAGUUCAAGGAUUUAAAAUAAUUAUUAAAAAAUAUAAG
rnacentral:tRNA from 1 species